rnacentral:rRNA from 1 species
ACGGCUCAGUAACACGUGGAUAACCUGCCCUUGGGUCUGGGAUAACCCCGGGAAACUGGGGAUAAUACCGGAUAACGCAUAUAUGCUGGAAUGCUUUAUGCGUAAAAUGGAUUCGUCUGCCCAAGGAUGGGUCUGCGGCCUAUCAGGUAGUAGUGGGUGUAAUGUACCUACUAGCCUACAACGGGUACGGGUUGUGAGAGCAAGAGCCCGGAGAUGGAUUCUGAGACAUGAAUCCAGGCCCUACGGGGCGCAGCAGGCGCGAAAACUUUACAAUGCGGGAAACCGUGAUAAGGGGACACCGAGUGCCAGCAUCAUAUGCUGGCUGUCCAGAUGUGUAAAAUACAUCUGUUAGCAAGGGCCGGGCAAGACCGGUGCCAGCCGCCGCGGUAACACCGGCGGCCCGAGUGGUGAUCGUGAUUAUUGGGUCUAAAGGGUCCGUAGCCGGUUUGGUCAGUCCUCCGGGAAAUCUGAUGGCUCAACCAUUAGGCUUUCGGGGAUACUGCCAGGCUUGGAACCGGGAGAGGUAAGAGGUACUACAGGGGUAGGAGUGAAAUCUUGUAAUCCCUGUGAGACCACCUGUGGCGAAGGCGUCUUACCAGAACGGGUUCGACGGUGAGGGACGAAAGCUGGGGGCACGAACCGGAUUAGAUACCCGGGUAGUCCCAGCCGUAAACGAUACUCGCUAGGUGUCGGCCACGGUGCGACCGUUGUCGGUGCCGUAGGGAAGCCGUGAAGCGAGCCACCUGGGAAGUACGGCCGCAAGGCUGAAACUUAAAGGAAUUGGCGGGGGAG